UUUUCCACCGCUGCUUUCGAGUCCUUUAAAUCCUAGAGGCAAACUUUUGGGGGAUAAGGAAGGCUUGGGAGGGGCCUGCGCCUUAACCCUCUCUGCCCCAGACGGACUGAGCUGGCCUGGUCGGUGACUCCGCGGCCCGUUUGGGUUCCUACCAUGGCCCCCGAGAGGGGCUGACACUUCGGUCCCCGGUGCAGGUGAGAACAGCCGGGAGGAAGAAGGAAGAAGGCCUCGGAGGCGGAGGUGGGCUCCAAACCAAGGAGGGGGGGGGGUCCCCCAGUCUAAGCCUGAGAGCGCGCCUGCCCCACUCAGCGAGGACCAAGAGAUGCCGGUUCUGAAGCAGCUGGGCCCCGCGCAGCCCAAGAAGCGGCCGGAGCGCGGCGCCCUGUCCAUCUCCGCGCCGCUCGGCGACUUCCGGCACACGCUGCACGUGGGGCGCGGCGGCGACGCCUUCGGGGACACUUCGUUCCUGAG